rnacentral:rRNA from 1 species
GUGGGGAAUAUUGCACAAUGGGCGAAAGCCUGAUGCAGCGACGCCGCGUGAGUGAAGAAGUAUUUCGGUAUGUAAAGCUCUAUCAGCAGGGAAGAAAAUGACGGUACCUGACUAAGAAGCCCCGGCUAACUACGUGCCAGCAGCCGCGGUAAUACGUAGGGGGCAAGCGUUAUCCGGAUUUACUGGGUGUAAAGGGAGCGUAGACGGCGAAGCAAGUCUGAAGUGAAAACCCAGGGCUCAACCCUGGGACUGCUUUGGAAACUGUUUUGCUAGAGUGUCGGAGAGGUAAGUGGAAUUCCUAGUGUAGCGGUGAAAUGCGUAGAUAUUAGGAGGAACACCAGUGGCGAAGGCGGCUUACUGGACGAUAACUGACGUUGAGGCUCGAAAGCGUGGGGAGCAAACAGGAUUAGAAACCCGGGUAGUCC